ACUACGGGAGGCUGCAGUGGGGAAUAUUGGGCAAUGGGCGCAAGCCUGACCCAGCCACGCCGCGUGAAGGAAGAAGGCUUUCGGGUUGUAAACUUCUUUUGUCAGGGAAGAGUAGAAGACGGUACAUGACGAAUAAGCCACGGCUAACUACGUGCCAGCAGCCGCGGUAAUACGGGGGUUGCAAGCGUUGUCCGGAUUUACUGGGUGUAAAGGGCGUGUAGCCGGGUUGACAAGUCAGAUGUGAAAUCCUGCGGCUUAACCGCAGAACUGCAUUUGAAACUGUUGAUCUUGAGUACUGGAGAGGCAGGCGGAAUUCCGAGUGUAGCGGUGAAAUGCGUAGAUAUGAGGAGGAACACCAGGGGCGAAGGCGGUCUGCUGGACAGCAACUGACGGUGAGGCGCGAAAGCGUGGGGAGCAAACAGGAUUAGAUACCCGGGUAGUC
rnacentral:rRNA from 1 species